rnacentral:snRNA from 1 species
AUUGCUUCUUGGCCUUUUGGCUAAGAUCCAGUGCAGUAUCUGUUUAUAUCAGUAUCAUUUAUGUACUUUUUUUGGUAGUAAUAUGGGAGUGAUUUGCUAUUGCCAAUUUAAUCACUGCUCUGUUAUUUCUAGUGGUCCUGGUACUAAUUAGGUCUGAUCCUGCUUACCUUUU